AACGAACGCUGGCGGCAUGCCUAACACAUGCAAGUCGAACGAGACCUUCGGGUCUAGUGGCGCACGGGUGCGUAACGCGUGGGAACCUGCCUUUAGGUUCGGAAUAACUCAGAGAAAUUUGAGCCUAAUACCGGAUAAUGUCUUCGGACCAAAGAUUUAUCGCCUUUAGAUGGGCCCGCGUUGGAUUAGCUAGUUGGUGGGUAAAGCCUACCAAGGCGACGAUCCAUAGCUGGUCUGAGAGGAUGAUCAGCCACACUGGGACUGAGACACGGCCCAGACUCCUACGGAGGCAGCAGUGGGAUAUGGACAAUGGGCGAAAGCCUGAUCCAGCAAUGCCGCGUGAGUGAUGAAGGCCUUAGGGUUGUAAAGCUCUUUUACCCGAGAUGAUAAUGACAGUAUC
rnacentral:rRNA from 1 species